GUCUGGAUUAGGGUUCCAUGUCAACAGUGAUUGAACAUGGGUGAGUCGAUCCUAAGCCAACUGUGAAAGCAGUGACAUCCCGACAAAGGUGCAUUAGGGGGUGUGCCCGGCGCUUGCAAAGCUCAUACUCGCCUCCUCUCGAUAUAGAACGUGAUCUCGCGCGCGUGCGCGUGUCAUGUUUGAGUGACUCAAUGAAUACGCUCAAGAGCGUUGAUGAUGAUGAUGACGUGGUACAAUGAAAGAGAGGUGGCUUGGGCGAGGUGCUUGUGGAGCGUUUGAGAUGCGCACACUAUGCUCUCUGCGUUGGUUCUAUGUCUGGCGAAAGGGAAUGGGGACUUUGUUCCUUGACCGGUCCCGGCACCCUCGAUAGGCUUUGCCAUUCAAUGGUCCAUGCAAAUGGAACCAGGCCACAGCCGCCGGCAGUCGCCCGAGGAAGAGUUUUCUUUUCUGCUUAACGCACGAGAUCAUCCCUGGAAACAGUUCGGCUGGCGAAAGGGUGCCCCGUUGCGGCAGAGCGCCACGACUGUCGUGCGCGUCUCGGUGUUCCUGCCGGUCCGUGAAGACGUGGUCGAGGGGAUUGCACUUGUAUCAACGAAACGCCCGACAAGUUCGGGACGGACCGUACCCUAUAUCCGCAUCUGGUCUCCAAGGUUCGUAGCCUCUGCAGAGUCAGACACAUGUAGGUAAGGGAAGUCGGCAAACUCGAUCCGUAACUUCGGGAAAAGGAUUGGCUCUGAGGGCCGAGCUGGGCCGGGCCUUGCCUGCAAAGCAGUACCUAUAGUGACCGGAGUUUUAGGAGUGCGAGGGG
rnacentral:rRNA from 1 species